AAAGGAGAAACAGCAGCACCCAGUAAGCUUGCACCUCAAGCUUUCACACCUUCCCCCUGUCCUAAAAUUAACCUGAGAUGGAUUCACCUCUGGCCCAGACACCAAGUCUUACUUCUGUGGCUCUCCAUUAACUCUAACUCGACAAAAGAAAGGUGUUAGGGUCAUGGAGAGAGGUGGAGGCGACACAGGUACAGGACUUGUGAACAACAGGAGGUCUUGAAGACAACGGAGGGAGUGAUGGGGGGCACAGAACUCAUGGACAAAGUUUUUCAAAAGAAAAGUUUCCCUCUGUCCAAAACAAGAAAAACCAAAGCAAAUGAACAAGAUAAGAGGAGGAAGAAGAAAGAAAAAAGGACCAAAGAACAAAAACAAACAAAAAAUUGACCCCAAAAAAUAAAUAAAAUAAAACGUGAAAUA